GGGGAAAGGGGGGGGGGGUUUAGGUGCAGUCGAACGAUGAAGGAGGAGCUUGCUCCUCCGGAUUAGUGGCGAACGGGUGAGAAAAAGGGGAGCAAUGUGCCCUUGACUCUGGGAUAAGCGCUGGAAACGGCGUCUAAUACCGGAUACGACCCUCGGAGGCAUCUCCUGGGGGUGGAAAGAACUUCGGUCAAGGAUCAGCUCACGGCCUAUCAGCUUGUUGGUGAGGUAACGGCUCACCAAGGCGACAACGGGUAGCCGGCCUGAGAGGGUGACCGGCCACACUGGGACUGAAACACGGCCCAAACUCCUACGGGAGGCAGCAGGGGGGAAUAUUGCACAAUGGGCGCAAGCCUGAUGCAGCAACGCCGCGUGAGGGACGACGGCCUUCGGGUUGUAAACCUCUUUUAGCAGGGAAAAAGCGAAAGUGACGGUACCUGCAAAAAAAGCACCGGCUAACUACGUGCCAACAACCGCGGUAAUACGUAGGGUGCAAGCGUUGUCCGGAAUUAUUGGGCGUAAAGAGCUCGUAGGCGGUCUGUCACGUCUGCUGUGAAAACCCGAGGCUCAACCUCGGGCUUGCAGUGGGUACGGG
rnacentral:rRNA from 1 species